rnacentral:rRNA from 1 species
CUAACUGGCGGCGAGCGGCAUCGGCGAAGGCGCCCCUGCGCGUCUUCGAAGCGGCGGGGUAUCAAAUGGUGAAAGCAGUUACCUAGUUCAAGACGGGUGGGGGUGAGGGUGAAAGGUUGGAGCGUCGGGAGGCCGCCAGGAGGGGUUGAAGGACGGACGCCCGGACGCCGGCAGGACGAGCGGCCGCCACGCUCCCCUCCCCCCGCGUGGGUGGUCGUCGCUGGAUGGAUCGUCAAAGAGGCAGAGAUGUCAUCGAUGACAGCUGGCAACUGCCGCUGAGGGACGCGGCAUACACAGUACGGUGGCGUCCAUGUCUCCAGCUACCAUACAGCUUCAACAGGAUGAUCCUUUAUUCUCAUAUGGUACCUCUUGCUCAGCGUCGUGUGUUCACGCUACGGUUCCCUAAAAUGUAAGGUUAACAAUUUCGUUUAAUGUUUACUAAAAAGACUCCUGUUGUCUUAACCACAACCGCCCAUGCCUCAUCAGAUGUUCCCUUGCGAACUGUCACCACUUCACUAACGACACUUCUUUGAAAUAAUGUUCGUAGGUCCUGAACUGUCGCUGUUCGUUAAAGUCUUACUCACAUGAUUGGAAUACUCCCAAGCAGUAGUUUUAUAUCAUUCCAAUCAACCGAUGACGGUACUUUAUGCAGUAUUUACGCAUCUCGUGUUACCCUUUAUACAAAAACGAUACCACCUUCUAUCUCGAGAGACGAAGCUUAUGAACCUCCCACCUUCGGAACUGUUUGUAGAGAGCCUGCUUAGGACGCCUAAACCAACCGUGUGCGCAAUGUUUUAGUAAUUUCCUUAAACACUCCCUAAUUUAAUGGAAGUAUUACCUAGUUUUCUCAGCUAAAAGGUAGACCUGAACUUUGGUCGGUUAUAUAACGACCUAUCCUUAUACUACGGUUUCUAUCCUCUAAAACCAAACAGGUCUGAGAAACUAAGUUGUCUUUGGACAAGGUGUUUUCCUUAAUAUCCUUGUGGACCUAUGUACGGUGGUCUUAUGUAGUUAUCCAAGGUGUAGUGUGGUUUCAAACUGCAUAAGUCAAACCCGCAAUGUUAAUAUUUUUAUUACCGUCCUGUGGUCCCGAUGAGGUUUAACCGCCUAUACAGAAGGGUUCUUAAAUAAGUUGAACAUGUACUUUUCACCCUUUUCCGUAACGUCUGUUGACACAACAGCGUAUGUAGUGUACCUCAAUUCUUUACGUAACUUUAUCGUAAUUCUACACACCUCCGACUGGCUCACUUUUCUGGAUGAUAUCGACUCCAACACCUACUUAACUCAUUCUAACUAUGACGGUAAUAGCUACUUAAUUUACUCUAACUAUGUCGGUCUUCAAGUGGUUAUCUCGUCCAUUGGUUGAAUGCUUCGUUAGUCCGGAAGUUGGGUACACACUUGAGUCCUUGCAAGAGUUUUCCACCACCAUUUCUACCCUUUUACUAAUCAAGGACGUCGUCAGUUCGGUAAGCUCGGAGAAGCCUAAGUCACGAAGAUUCACGCCUAUAAUUUACGGUCUAGAACGGUAGUCGGUCACAAUUUUAGAAGUCAAUACUAUUAGAGUCCAAUCGGUGUUCCUUCAAGGCGCGAUUGUGAGACGAGCCACUUCCUCCUAAACCUGCACAUAUAUUUCCUACCUAACUACUCUUGUGUAACAGUGGAACGUUUGGACCGUGACCAUAUUAACAACGUCACUUUUCUAAUUCGGUCCUCUCAAACGUUCCCGUGGUUCUCACCAACCGCCGUCUUCAAUUAAUGGAUCCAGUGGAAAGGGUGGGGUUGGAACACUUCAAUAAACCCAUGACGAAUCUCCUACUCGUGGCCGAUGAUCAUAUACUCAAGUAUGGUGCACCCUCGAACCUGUUAGUAGAAAUAUCCUCUCCGGGUACAGUUGGAGAAAGUACCUUGGACUCUUACUUUCAACGUGAACCUCGACGUUUUCGUGAUCGAAUGGAAGUGACACGUCUCUGUUUAUAGUAAAAAUCUCUAAAACCCUCAAGGGUAUAAGAUGAACUGUCUCAUUCACUUAGCAGUCAUGUAGUAUGAAGUGGAUAUACUCGUACACUACAGAUGACUUUCCUUACGUAGUAUGAUGACACGUCCUGAUAUGACGCUUCGAGCGACCAAAACCUGACCGUCAAUUACCAGGACAACCACUCCUCUCAGUAAAUUGGUGUUCCCAACACCCCUGUGUACCAAUACGUCGAGGUCUUAUGUAACGUUGUCCGGUAGAAUGUGUCUUCACACUGUAGAUAACGAAACCUCAUAAUGAAGACCUCUACAACAGUCCAGAGGCGCAGGAACUGGGCUUGGCCGGUCGUCCCCUCGUCGUAGAACACCUGACCCGGUCUGGUAUAGAGCUUGUAUUCGUGUUCUAUGCGACACAGUAUCUACGGUUAGAUCCACCAUAAAUGAGCAAGUCACGGCGUGUCUUUUAGCGACGGGAACGGGAGCUCACGCAAACGAACCUGGGGUUUUUCUCCGGCUGGUACCUACGCCGCCAGAGACAGGAACUUCCACAAGUCCUUCUGCUCCUUGGUCUUCGUCGCCUCGUGGUCCUUAGUCCGUUUUUCCAGUGACGCUCACGUUCGUCCUUCUUGCCGUUUAGAGCGACCUUAUAGAAGCCUCCCCCCGCCAGCACUAGGUUUCGGUAGACAAGCGAACCGUAUCGUCCGGUCCCAAACUAGUCUCAACAAUGACUCGAACCACCAACGUUUGCUUAGUAGUGCGUCUGCGUACUCGAUUUAAAUACUUCAGCAGGUGUCUACGCUUUUCAGGUAAGACGUGGGCUCGAGUAUACGAGGGCGUACUUGUCAUUUUAGCUUUUUUUUAGCUUUUUAAGGUUUUUUUUAAACUCUGUUUGUAACUGUUUUCAAGAUUCACGGACGUUUUUAAGCAGUACUUUAGUGUAAGGAUCUUCCGCACCGUUUUUUUUGUUUAAGUCACGAAGUUUUACGCAAACUUUCAUCGAAAAAGUCUCAUAAAAAAAACAAAAAAAACGGUGCGGAAGAUCCUUACACUAAAGUACUGCUUAAAAACGUCCGUGAAUCUUGAAAACAGUUACAAAGUGAGUUUUUUUUAACCUUAAAAAACUUAAAAAAAUAUAAAAAAAAGCUAAAAUGACAAGUACGCCCUCGUAUACUCAAGCCCACGUCUAAUCGACGCAGGGGUAUCUACGACGAUAAUAGUUGUGACCUGUCUCAGUUCUACAUCAUAUAAACUACUACUGCCGGCUUUGUGGAAUGUGGAGUCUUAGUUCGUGCUAAAACGGGCGGCUCUUUGUUCUACUGAGUGUCGAGUGACUAUUCUACUUCUGCUGUGGUUAGAACUAAUGUGUAACUGCACCAUAGCCGUCACGACAUUUCCAUUUUGUACAGAACCGACAUUAAAUACAAGUAUUAUCCGUUAUUAUCGUUUGGCUUAACUUUUUGGACAAUCGUUAGACAUGGUUCAGACGUUGAGUUCUCCUAACUGUUACCUCUCUUAAGAAAAAAUAACAACGUAAUUUGGGUUCUCCUAAUACGUUAGAGGGGCAACGGCACCGACAGCCUGUACCUCAAGGGACCGGGAUCCAACGUGGUAAAAGGGUAUACCAAUUUUAGUACCAACCCUUACCAGUCGCACACGAAAAAACCGCACUAUCCAGGGGUACCAAAAAGACGACCUGUACUCCGAGUCUUGGUCUACAGCCGCACGAUACAUACACACGGAGGUCCUUCUUCUAUGCCCGUUAUGUUGCACGUCGAGUACGGAGCCGAUACUUGCGCUGCUGCGCCAGGUACUCGGCGAACCGCAACAGCGUUACCUCGAAGGGUUCCUUCUUGUGCACCGGGAGGGGGAGGUCGAGGUCGGUUCGGCGGGAGGGCGCGGUGGGCGAGCGCCGGUGCCGGAGCAUCAUGCGCGCCAACGCGCGCCGGUCGGGCAGGAGCUCGGGGCACCAGUGGUCGUAGGAGCGCGUGCGCUCGGAGAGGUCGCGGCCGCUGCGGUCGCCCAAGUAGGAGCCCAGCAGGCGCGGCGGGUGGCGGCUGGGCGCCGUGCGCAUCCUGGUCUCCUCGGGCCAGUGGGACCGGCGCCGGCCCCCGAGGGGGAGCUAGCGGCACAAGGGCGACUUGGUGCCCACGUCGUCAUGGCGCGGGAGCUAGGAGCCAGGCGGCAGGGAGUGCUCGUAGAGCACGCGCUACAACCGCGGCCGCGACAGGGGGCGCUGCUUGUCGAAUCUCCGCAGCGGCACCAGCCGCUAGGUCGGCAGGACGCGGCUCCGUCGGGUGGCCUCGCGCCGGGUCCUCAGCAGCAUCCGCCGCCCCUCGCCCACGAGGCCCCGCUCCGCCAUCAGCUGCCUGUGGCGCUCCUGCGGCCGGCGCCGCCGCUCGCGCAACUCCAUCAACACCAUGCACCCCAGCGCCCGGCUGGGCUACUCCUUCCGCGGCGGCACCUUCAUCUGCUGCUGGCCCUCGAAGCACCUCCGCAGGACCUCGAACAACCCCUCCAUCUCCGCGUGCCUCUCCGGGCACGGGCGCAGCUCCUGCUGCAGGAACCUCCACUGCGGCCACCGGAGCAGCUGCGGCCGCCCGUCCUACCACCCCAGCAACUCCGCCAGAUAGAAGGGCGAGGACAUCUGCGCCUUCGAGGGGCCGCGGAGAUC